UGGGCUGUAGCUCAGUGGCAGAGUAUAUGUUUUGCAUGCACAAAGUACUGGAUUCAAUUUCCAGCACCAA
rnacentral:tRNA from 1 species